AAAUAACUGUAACUAACUAACUAUAAAAAAAUUAUUUUAUAAAAAUAUAAGUUAGUUGCAAGACCACUAGAGUGUUUUAGUGUGUGUUCAAGUGUAUAAAUUUAGAACCGCCAUGUAGAAAAAUGGUUUUGUUUACCUUCAAUAUAAAGAGGUCAUAUUUACAGAUGACAUAAAGUUAGUUUUAUUAGCUGAAAAACAUUAACGAGCGUAAAUACUGUGUGAUUCAUCUAGAAUGAUCUCAAGGUCUUGCAAGUUUUCUAAUAAUUUGUUGAACGAUUAGCGGACAGAUCAAUAUGUUAAACCAUAAAAUGUUUCAAGCAAAACUAGUUUUUGCCCUUGCGAUUUUGUAUCAUUAAGAAGAAAGUUUAAUCUAAAAAAAGUGUUAUAAGAUACCCAUCCUAUAUGUUAUGUUUUUAUUUAUAAAUAAACGCAUUUGGCCAAUGGUAAUUGGAAAACCGAUGUCUGACUUUUAGCUGUUAUCACUUAAACGCCAUUAGCAAUAAUCAGUAACUAUUUUGUUCAGCUUUGGUGAUAUAUUUUCGACAGCAAAAUGAAGAUUUAUUUGGUUGUAGUAAUUAUUUCCUUAUGGGUUGGAGAUUUGGUUCAAAUGCAAGAGGCCUGUGCAGACAUAAAAUGCUCAUCUCCUCAUCAAAUUUGCCGAGGUUCUAACCCAUGCUAUAACAAAUGUAGUAGUCAAUUUUGCCCGGCAUAUUUAGAAUAUGCCUGUUUCUGUGAAUCUGGUUAUUGUAGCGACGAUAACGGAGAUUGUGUUCUUAGGAGUUGAAAGAAAUAAUGAAGUUCUUGUUUAUAUGUAUUGAAAUAAUAAAUAUUUCAGUCUG